UGGAGUGCCUGGAUUUUUGCCUACAAUUGCUCCUGCUGCGUUCGCUGAAUCAACAGCCAUCGUCUCGGGGACUCUGAUGAUAGCGAAGAAGACCCGGGAAAUGGUGACCUCGCAUCUCUGGGGUUGGCAAGCCAAUUGCAUUGGCAGACUCCACCGUCUCGCCGAGUGCCAGCAAGAGUCAACUCAACUCCUCAACUGGAAUUUUACAGACUGAUCUCCGAAAUAUCUCAGCAUCCAGUAACCAUGGUAAACAGAUCCUAAUACCAAUUUAUCUCCCUUAGCACCUCACCAUGGGGAAGGACGUAUUCAUAUGCCUUCACCAGCACCUGCAUUAAACAUGCAGAGAGUUACACAAGUCCUCCCUCGACUCCCUCAACAUGUGGCAGACAGAUGAGCCUGGAUCCCGCCUGGCUUACAGGCCAACAUGGCGAGGAGGAAAAAUGGCCGACAACAUUUCCUGCUCUGAUUUCUUCUUUGGCCACCAUUGGAGGCCAGGAUGUGAAACGGGUGACCGGGAACAUUCUGGGCAGGAUCUUCACAGAUGAGGUUUCACAUCAAAUUAAUUGGAAGGGUGUCAACAACAAAAAGGCCUUUAGCAGGAUGGCAACAAAGACCUUGCUUUUCAGUGCUGUAAGAAAAAAUCUGUCGACAAAGUCAGCCACAGACGCUGAGGUCACCAAACACGCAAUCAGUUAAUUCAACCUGGCGGCGGAUCGGGCAGCGAGGAGACGAGUCCCGCCUCCACCUCC